rnacentral:rRNA from 1 species
UUGACCUCGGAUCAGGUAGGGAUACCCGCUGAACUAAGCAUAUCAAUAAG